rnacentral:rRNA from 1 species
CCUACGGGAGGCAGCAGUGGGGAAUCUUGCACAAUGGGGGAAACCCUGACGCAGCGACGCCGCGUGAGUGAAGAAGUUUUUCGUUACGUAAAGCUCUAUUAGCAGGGAAGAAAAUGACCGUAACUGAGUCAGAAGCCCCGGCUAACUACGUGCCAGCAGCCGCGGUAAUACGUAGGGGGCAAGCGUUCUCCGGAUUGACUGGGUGAAAGGGGAGCGUAGGCGGCAGUGCAAGUCUGGAGUGAAAGGCGGGGGCUCAACCCCGGGACGGCACUGGAAACUGGACGACUUGAGUGCAGAAGAGGUGAGUGGAAUUCCAAGUGUAGCGGUGAAAUGCGUAGAUAUUAGGAGGAACACCAGUGGCGAAGGCGGCUUACUGGUCUGUAACUGACGCUGAGGCUCGAAAGCGUGGGGAGCAAACAGGAUUAGAUACCCUAGUAGUC